GUGCUCACUUCGGCAGCACAUAUACUAAAAUUGGAACAAUACAGAGAAGAUUAGCAUGGCUCCUGCGCAAGGAUGAUACACAAAUUCGUGAAGCGUUCCAUAUUUAA
ensembl:snRNA U6 U6 spliceosomal RNA